rnacentral:lncRNA from 1 species
AGAUUCUCUGAUUUUAUAAGAUAAAUUUUGAUUUAUUUUAGUCUUCUGCUGCCUGAUCUUGAAAAAGUUUCAAGAUCUAACCCUGAAACCCUAGAUCUGGUUCCUUCAAUCCCUGGAGAUGUCCACUAUGAGACUAUACCGUUAUCUUUGAGAUAGAUCCAAAAUUUUUUAUUAAGGUAUUCCUCUCCUUGAUCUGAUCGAAGAACCUUUAUGGGUUUUUUGGUUUAUUUUUCUACUCCAUGUCUGAAUUCUUUAAACUUUUUAAAAGCUUCAAACUUACAGUGCA